AAUUGAACUACCUCUCUACCAUUCAAAUUUCAAACUUUUCACCCUUUAAUUUUUGGUUUUUCUUUUCCUAUUGUUGUUGACAAAGGGAUGGGAACAACAUGCAGAUUCUCAAUCAAGAAGCCAGGGAAGAUAAUUCCUUUGUUUCAAAGAAUCUGCAUAAAACAAUCCAAUACACUAUGAGCUGGUACUCACAUCGGCUUCCCUGAGCAAAACUUCAUAAUCAACGACAAGAAACGCGAGCUCAGAGGAAAAAGGAGUAGCAGUUCUUUUCCGAUGAUAGGUAGAAGAAAUGGGAACCUUUCGUGGAACAAGGAUGGCAAAGCAUGUGAUUCUCGGGAUGUUUGCCUUGAGCUUCACAGGAGUUUCCAGCUCUGAAG